rnacentral:misc_RNA from 1 species
GAAGGAGAAAAGUCAGCAAAAGCCUUAGGGGCAGUCACGACCUCCCAUUCCACGCAAUAUUCUUCUUUUUUGGGUUCAUAUAUUCUCCCAAUUGCCACAUUAAGCCCACAUGACACCACGUACACUUUUCCUUCUGCUCCGCUCACAGCAAAUGGCCUCCGCAUUGCAUCUCGUGGGAACCUGUCCCCUCCCACGUACCUCCACGCGUCCGUAUCAGGGAGGUACACUUUCAUCGGACAGUCUCCGUGCUCCGAUAUCACGAAUAAUCUCUCACCCACUACUACACUUAAUCCUGUCCACCCUUCUCUCAUCCCAUCUCUCAGUUCUUGCCACGUGUCUUUAUCUGGUUCGUACACGCCACCCCUCGGUGAAAACAUGAAAGGCCAUGUCCACCCUUCCGUCACGUACAUCUUGUUCCCCACCACAGCCGAAUCGUACCUACAUAACCCCGUGCGCAUUUUAGCAACAGGCGUCCACGCGUCUUUUUCAGGGUCGUAGCAUUCAGCGGCUGUGAUUGAAUCACCAAUGCCGGACGCACUUCCUCCAACAGCAAUGAUCUUACCAUUUGCACUCCCGACGGCGAAGUAUGACCGUGGGGUUAGCAUGGGAGACGCUACGGACCACUGAUUUGUUGAUGAAUGGUAAACAUAUGUCGUCUCCAUGGAAGUUUCAGUGUCCGACCGCAUACCACCAAAAACGAAGAGCUUCCCUUGAUGUGGCAACGAGGCGCAAGCAAACCCCGGUGGACAUACGGACUUGGGACAAGGCAUAGGAGGCAAAACAAACCAACGGCCGGAUCGAGGGUCCAGAGCUUGCCAUUGAAUCCUAGACGUUGAUUUACGGAACGCAAAAACGAAAAGGUAAGGCAGAGAGAGGGAUAGAGAUUUCUUGGAGACACUAAAGCUGGGGUCAUG